CUCCGCUGGUGUCCAGAGCGGUCACAGGGAGGGAGUGGCUGCAGGGUACCCCAGUGGUCAGGGGAGGCGGCCAGGUCCGCCCUGGAGCCCAGCCCGCCCCAGUGCAGCCUGCCAAGGCCUUUGCCGUCACCCCAGGACUGCCAGAACCGCUGCUGCAACUCCACCACCUGCCAGCUGGCUGAGGGGGCCCAGUGUGCGCACGGUACCUGCUGCCAGGAGUGCAGGCCGGCUGCUGAGCCGUGCCGUCCCAAGAAGGACAUGUGUGACCUCGAGGAGUUCUGUGACGGCCGGCACCCUGAGUGCCCGGAAGACGCCUUCCAGGAGAACGGCACGCCCUGCUCCGGGGGCUACUGCUACAAUGGGACCUGCCCCACACUGGCCCAGCAGUGCCAGGCCUUGUGGGGGCCAGGUGAAGUGGGCACAGAGCUGGCCCGGCAGGGUGGCUGCAGGCCUUGCCAGGGCUAACCCGCUCCUGGUCCCGCAGGUGGGCAGGCUGCCGAGGAGUCCUGCUUCUCCUACGACUUCCUACCAGGCUGCAAGACCAGCCGGUACAGGGCUGACAUGUGUGGCGUUCUGCAGUGCAAGGGCGGGCAGCAGCCCCCAGGGCGUGGC
rnacentral:sRNA from 1 species